CAAAUUAAAUGGUUUAGGAAUAAUUGCUGUUAAAAUGUAAAAGCAUUAGGUUGAACUUGUAUCAAUCAGGUUUAGAUAUCAUGGUUUAAUCCUUUAAGAACCCAAACCGUCUAAUUUCAUCGAACAAUGUGAUAGAAAAAAGUUUGUACAAUAUAUUAGGGAUUUACGCGCAGAGAUCAGAUGAACAUGAUAAACUGAUCUAGCUACGAGCCUACGAGAAGAUAAUAAAAAACUGAAUAUAGUAAAAAAAACUGAAUAUAGUACGUGUGGACAGAGACUGUUAUCCUAUAGUAUUAUAGUAAUAUACUACAAUUUACUUUCAAAACUUCUCUCCCAAAGGUUGAAGACAAGCUUGAUAAAUUGUGUCUUGCCUUAGAGCAGCAUUAACGGGAGGUUUUAAGUGGGGUGCUUAGGUUUUUUUGUAAUUAAAAAAAAAGAAAAAUCACAAUUACCUUAAGCAGCGGAGCUUAAUUAAGAGGAAGAAGCACCGACUCUUGAUACACGUGUCGUCUUCCAUCCUCUCCCGUUCUCUCCUUCUCACCGCCGUCAAUGCUUCGUAACGAUGGCCACAAUCUUCUUCUCUUCCUCUCCACUUGCUUGAAACGGACAAAAAUGGCCACCAUAAACCCUAUUUUAUCUUCGCGCCUGCUCACUCUCUUCAAGCUGGGUCGAUUAACUUCUCUUAUGGCCAUGGGGGGUUCCUUCACCUCCCACAGAGAUUAGCUUCCACAGAAGGUUAUUCCACCUCCACAGUUUGUCAUCCAGAACCAGUAUGAGUUCUUCGUCCAGCGUAUGGGAGGCCCUCCUCUGUAUUCUCAAAGGAAAUGUUAAGUCUUUUUUACAUUUUGGAUUCUUCUUCCUUUACUAUAAUCUGGUGAAUGCCUUCAAAUGUUUGUUUGGUUCUAGCUGUUCUUUUAAUGUUCAUGGCACUUUAAUCAGUUCUGCAUUAACAUAAUUUUCAGGCUGCGAUUGAACUAUGGCUAGCCGCAAUGAUCCCUUACAGAUUGCAACUUCCUAACUGUUUUGUAUAUUGGGUUUGUGGGAGCUCACACAAUGCCGGUUCUGUAUGAGAAAUAUGAAGACGAAGUUGGUGGUUUUGUUGAUUCUCUGCUCAUGAAGUUUCACAGUCACUAUAAGAAGAUGGAUACUGGCUUUCUCAGUCGAAUUCCAAGUGGAAGGUUUGGGUUCAAGAAGCAUGACUAAAUCAACUUGUUUAUCUGUGGAUGAAAGGUAUGUGUAGCUUGGUUUACUCUUGAACGUCUUCUUCUUGGUUUACUCUUAUAGGAUGUUUCAAACAAUGUUGGCUUACUUUCUGAUGAUGGCAAUAGGUUUUACAAACCAAAGUGUUUCUUAAUUUUUUUUUGAUCUUUUAAUAUGUUUUAUAUAAUAAAUAAAUUUUAUCUUAAAUAAAACAAUGUUUAAUU